rnacentral:rRNA from 1 species
CAGUCGCCGCGGUAAAACGGAGGGUGCAAGCGUUAUCCGGAUUUAUUGGGUUUAAAGGGUCCGUAGGCGGAUCUGUAAGUCAGUGGUGAAAUUUCACAGCUUAACUGUGAAACUGCCAUUGAUACUGCAGGUCUUGAGUAAAUUUGAAGUGGCUGGAAUAAGUAGUGUAGCGGUGAAAUGCAUAGAUAUUACUUAGAACACCAAUUGCGAAGGCAGGUCACUAAGAUUUAACUGACGCUGAUGGACGAAAGCGUGGGGAGCGAACAGGAUUAGAGACCCCCGUAGUCCCUGUCUCUUAUAA